rnacentral:misc_RNA from 1 species
GAUGAAGAACGUAGCGAAAUGCGAUACUUGGUGUGAAUUGCAGAAUCCCGUGAACCAUCGAAUCUUUGAACGCAAGUUGCGCCCGAAGCCUCGGCUAAGGGCACGUCUGCCUGGGCGUCACGCAUCGCGUCUCCCCCAAACCGCCAAGGCGGAGGGGAAGGAAGAUGGCUUCCCGUGCCUCACCCGGGCGCGGUUGGCCUAAAUUUGGAGCCCGCGGCACUUAGCUCUCGCGGCGAUAGGUGGUGAACAAGGCCUUGGCCGUGCAAACAACCCGCUGCGAAGCUCUAUGUCACGUGCGCUCGUCGGACCCUUUGAAGUUGCCUUUGGUGACUUAAAACCUUUGCGACCCCAGGUCAGGCGGGGCUACCCGCUGAAUUUAAGCAUAUCAAUAAGCGGAGGA